GCCACCACCGCUCCCUGUGAUCCUCGCUGCUCUGAUCGACCUGCGCUGCUCCCACUGGCCCGUGCUGCUUCCUCAGGCCACCAUGCUCCGUUCGCCUGCCGCGCUCCCGUUGGCCACCGCUGCUGCCGAUGCUGCGUGCUGCUCUGCCCGGCCUGUGCUGCUCCCACUGCCUGUCGGGCUCCCACUGCCUUUUGAAGAUCCCCCUGCCCGUUGCGUGCCCGCUGCCCUUUGUGCGCCCGCUGGCUUCCGAGCUCCCGCGGCCUGUUGAGCGUCCGCUGCGCGCUGUGGGCCCGCUGCCUGCGCUGCGCCCGCGAUCUCUCCUGCGCCCACCGCCUUCGCUGACCGUCUGGCCACCGCCGCGCUCUAUGGCCUGUGCUGCUCCAUCCGACCUGCGUUGCACACGCUCACGUGCGCUGCUCCGAUUGGCCUGGGCUGCUGCUGCCUUAAGCCACGGGGGCUCGGUUGGCCUGCGCUGCUCCCCGUGGCCACCGCUGCACCCUCAGCCAGCACGUCUCCCUCUGGCCACCGCUGCUUCCUGUCCUGCUCCGUCCGACCUGCGUUGCACACACUCCCCUGCGCCGCUCUGACUGGCCCGGGCUGCUUCCUCAAGCCACCAGAGCUCCAUCGGCCUGCGCUGCUCCCUCUGGCCACCGCUGCUCCCUAGGGUCCGUGCUGCUCUGACCGACGUGCGCCGCUCCCACCGGCCCGUGCUGCUUCCUCAGGCCGCCAUGCUCCCCUGGCCCGCCGUGCUCCCGUUGGCCGACGCUGCUGCCGAGGAUCUGCGUUUCUCUGACCGGCCUCUGCUGCUCCCACUGCCUGUUGUGCUGCCACGGCUUGUUGCCUCCCCACUGCCGGUUGCGAGCCCAACGCCUGCUGUCCUCUCACUGCCUGCUGUGCUCCCGCCGCCUGUCGCGCGCCCGCUGCCUGCCGUGCUCCCGAGGCCUGCUGCACGCCCACUGCGUGCGCUGCGCCGCGCCACUGCCUGCGCUCGCCAACGGCCCUGGACGGCUUCCUCCUGGCACCCCUGCUGCCUCGGAUCUGUGCUGCUCUGACCGGCCUGUGCUGCUCCCACAGCCUGUUGUCCCCCCCACAGACAGCCUGUUGUCGCCCCGCAGCCUGUUGUGCCCCCCCACAGGCUGUGGUGCCCCCACUGCCUGUUGUGCCCCGACAGCCCGUUGCGGCCCCCCCCCACAGCCUGUUGUGCCCCCCCCAGCCUGUUGUGCCCCCCGCAGCCUGUUGUCCCCCCACAGCCUGUGGUGCCCCCCCAGU
rnacentral:lncRNA from 1 species